rnacentral:SRP_RNA from 1 species
CCCGCGUGGUGGCACAUGCCUGUAGUCUUAGCUACUCGGGAGGCUGAGGUGGGAGGAUCACUUGAGCCCAGGAAUUGUGCACUGCAAUGCUGUACACCGAUCAGGUGUCCCCACUAAGUUUGGCAUCAAUAUGGUGACCUCCUAGGAGGGGGGCCAACCACCAGGUUGUCUAACGAAAUAUGAACUGGCCCAGGCCAGAAACGGAGUAGGUCAAAACUCACGUGCUGAUCGGGAUGUAUUUAGCCACCCUGAGCUAAAGAGCCUGUUUUGU